UAAAAGAUAGUUGAAUAUUGGUUAGUGGGAGGAGAAACCAAAGUAAUUCAUCUUGUUCCUCCAUUGUCGAAACUUGAAAGGAAAAAGAAUAAAAUUUUUUGUUUGAGUUUCGGCUAUGGUGAUUGCUAGAAGAAGCUCAAGAGCAGAAAGUGUCGAAAUCAGAUAGGGGAAAAGAGGAAGCAAUGGAGUAUUCUAUCCAUAACUGUUCAAAUAUAUUCGAGGUUUAUACUACUUUAGCUCGAGUUGGAAUGGCCGGAGAUAUCAUCACACUAUCGAGUCAUUAUGUGAGUUGAGAAGAUUGUAUAUUAUCAUGGUUUAAGGCAUGUAUAGGAUAGACUAUAGGUAGAAUGAUAUUUCGACUUUGUAUACAUUAUAGCCAUGCGAAGAUGGCUUGCUCAUUUUGUUUAGAGAAGCCUUAUAAUUGAACUAAUGUGGUGAAAUGUUUUAGUUAUAACUUGAUAGUAGUUAAAUUGUUAUUAGAUAUUCGGUUAUGUUUUGAUAGUGAGUCAUUUUGGAAAUUUAUAAGAGCUCUUAUGGAAAAUCAAUGAGACAUGUUUGCAUUG